CAGAGCUUCUGUGCCUGUUCAUGUUCUUUUCCUGCCUGCAGUGGCUCUGAUAUACCCCAGAAGACUCAAUUUUUCCUCAACUUUAAAAUGUGGAAUUUUCCUGGUGUUUGGUUUUAAAUAUUCUUCUGUGAGAACUGCAACUCAAUCACUGCCGGGUUGUGUUUAAAAGACAUCUGGAAAGUAACUAGCCUUUAAACAGAAGUGAAAGAAGUUUUUACUAACUCUUCUGAUUUUGUCAUGAGUCUCGUGAUAAUUAUUGUUUUCCUUAAAGCCUCAGCUCCUGGAGUCAAGUGGAUAUGUGAUGAUUUCAGCCUUCAUUCUUAAAGAAAAAGUUGUUAAAGGAAUGAACCAUAAAGCUUAGUGAACAAUUGACAAUUGGUUUUAAGAAGUUAUGAAGAUCUGGGGAGGUAGCAGAAAACUGGACAAAAGGAAAUGUCGUAUGAGGUGUCCAAAGAGCUGUAAUUGUCCUUUCUGGGGGAGAGAGAAGUCAGCUGAGAUGUUCUGGAGUGGCUGCUGCAGUUAUUCAAGUCUACUGCUGUUUUCUUGACAAAAGAAGAAAACAAACCAAGAAAAACACAGAGGACAGAAAAGAACAGCAAAGAGAAAAGGCAGCGUCUGCCUCUGCAACCGCUUAGAUGCAGUCUCACUGCUGGAGGAGCACAGGCUUAGCACGUCUGAUCAACCACUCCUGCCCCAGCAAACGUCCUGCCUCAGCGGAGAAGGGUGAAUGAAGCAUGGGUGCAAAGAGGGAAUUCGGAAUUCCAGACUACGUGCCUAGUCGUGGCUGGGCCACCCAUGGGACUGCCUGGGGCGGCUCCUGCUCAGGGGCCUUGGCUUUAGCCCUCCUGACUCCUGGUGUUGGUCUCCAUGAGGCAGGGCCUCCUGCACCUCAAGGCUCUUUGUCCACCAUACCAAGCAGAGGGCGAGUCCUCUGAUCUUCCGGGAAGGACUCUGGCAUUACAGAGUAGCAUGUGCCUGUUGUUCAUUGUUCAUGGAGAAAAUGCGACCUCUGAUGGACUGGGAUGAAAGCGGGCUGGAUGGAAGAGGAAGGCUGAGAGUAGGUAACUCCUGUGAUUCCAGGUCCCGGUGACGUUCGAUGACGUUGAGAUCUAUUUCUCUUAGGAGGAAUGGGCUCUCUUAGAGCAGGGGCAGAAGGUGAUGUAUCAGGACAUGAUGGAGGAGAAUUAUGGUCUCCUGACCUCACUGGGUAAAGCUCAAACCUCCUUCUUUUCCUGGAUGUUGUGUGGGCUCUGAGAUGCCCAGGGCCUUUUCUAGAUGCCGGGAUGCCACUGAGGAUCAGCAGCAGCAGAAAGGAACAAGUCACU